GACGAACGCUGGCGGCGUGCCUAAUACAUGCAAGUCGAGCGAAGCGGCGGAUGGGUGAGUAACGCGUGGGUAACCUGUCCUUACGUCUGGGAUUCCAUAUGGCAACAGAUGCUCAUACCGGAUACUUAUAGAUGGUUCCGCUCUGCAUUAGCUAGUUGGUAAGGUAACGGCUUACCAAGGCAACGAUGCAUAGCCGACCUGAGAGGGUGAUCGGCAACACUGGAACUGAGACACGGUCCAGACUCCUACGGGAGGCAGCAGUAGGGAAUCUUCCGCAAUGGGCGAAAGUCUGACCGAGCAACGCCGCGUGAGUGAAGAAGGUUUUCGGAUCGUAAAACUCUGUUAUUAGGGAAGCGGUACCUAAUCAGAAAGCCACGGCUAACUACGUGCCAGCAGCCGCGGUAAUAC
rnacentral:rRNA from 1 species